UCUUGUAAAGGAAUUUAUAAGCUUUAUUGUGAGUGUGGUUAUUUUUAUGUAGGUAGAACGAAGCGUAGUUUUAAAGCUCGGUUUAGCGAACAUGACCGAUGCAUUAGACAAAACAAUCCUGAGUCUUUAUUUGCUAAGCAUAUUAUGGAGACCGGUCACCCAUCGAAUCUACUAGAUAAUUACAAGAUCUUACAUAGAGUUCAGGACAACAUAAAUCUAAAUAAUCUUGAAUUACUCGAGAUUAAAAGAUCUCUCAAAAAAGAAUAUGAUAAAUCUCUUAAUAUUCAGAUUAACAUUCCUGAAACUAAUUUAAUUAAUAUUUUAUUUGAAUAACUCUUCCCUCCCUUUCCGGUUAAUUUAUUUUAAUAUAAACCCCGUUGUUUUCUUAAUAUAAACUGGUAGAGACAUCUGUUUAACAGUUUUAAAAUAUUUUAAAGUUACUGUGGGUACCGCUAUCUAGUACCCAUUCGGUUAUAGGAUAUAAAAUAUAGAUUUCUUUGUAACGUUCUUUCUUAAUUAUGAAAACUAGAUAUAGAUGACUCUGUUGGUCAGAUUAGUUUGAAUGGCGGUUAUCAUAGUUUUUAGAUCGUUUUGUCUAUUGUGUUGUAACGGUGCUUUUUAGAUGUUAUUGUUUUAAACCUAAGUGUAUUAUUUGUUAUCUUACGAUAAGAUUUACUUGCUUAAUUUUAGCUGUACCGUUCUAUAUGUGCUUUUGUUUUGUUUUGACAAAUCUCGUUUUUAACAAUUCCUCGACCUGAUGAUGCGAUGAUAUUGUAAUCGCGAAACCGGUCGUCAUAAUAAAAGGAAUUUCUGGUGAAAUAAGACCUUUAAUUUCUACUGUGUUUGCUAGCAAAUACCUAUAAAAAUACAUCCCAGAACAUGGACACCAUUCUCCAAACUAUUAAUUCUGCGAGUCUGGCAGAUUGUGUUCGACGUUACGAGAGGCUAAUGGUAAAAAAGACAUGUAAGAAUACAAGUAUAUACUUCAACAACCAGUGCCUGAAGUGGAAACUUACCCCCAAGUAUAUACAUAUCAAGCUCAACCAACAAAGGUUAUCUAACAGGAACAGCCGCUUAUUAAAUACACUGAGAGUCCUCGACCUGAUGAUGCGAUGAUAUUGUAAUCGCGAAACCGGUCGUCAUAAUAAAAGGAAUUUCUGGUGAAAUAAGACCUUUAAUUUCUACUGUGUUUGCUAGCAAAUACCUAUAAAAAUACAUCCCAGAACAUGGACACCAUUCUCCAAACUAUUAAUUCUGCGAGUCUGGCAGAUUGUGUUCGACGUUACGAGAGGCUAAUGGUAAAAAAGACAUGUAAGAAUACAAGUAUAUACUUCAACAACCAGUGCCUGAAGUGGAAACUUACCCCCAAGUAUAUACAUAUCAAGCUCAACCAACAAAGGUUAUCUAACAGGAACAGCCGCUUAUUAAAUACACUGAGAGGUAA